rfam:Botryobasidium botryosum FD-172 SS1 unplaced genomic scaffold BOTBOscaffold_55, whole genome shotgun sequence.
GCGGUGGGAGCACGGUGGUUGUGCAGGGGAUUGCAGAUCCCAAGGUCAUGGGUUCAAAUCCCAUUCGCCGCU